CUUACCAUGCAGUCGAACGGAAAGUGCCCUUCGGGGUGACUCGAGUGGCGAACGGGUGAGUAACACGUGGGUGAUCUGCCCUGCACUUUGGGAUAAGCCUGGGAAACUGGGUCUAAUACCGGAUAGGACCACGCGCUUCAUGGUGUGUGGUGGAAAGCUUUUGCGGUGUGGGAUGGGCCCGCGGCCUAUCAGCUUGUUGGUGGGGUAAUGGCCUACCAAGGCGACGACGGGUAGCCGGCCUGAGAGGGUGACCGGCCACACUGGGACUGAGAUACGGCCCAGACUCCUACGGGAGGCAGCAGUGGGGAAUAUUGCACAAUGGGCGCAAGCCUGAUGCAGCGACGCCGCGUGAGGGAUGACGGCCUUCGGGUUGUAAACCUCUUUCAGUAGGGACGAAGCGCAAGUGACGGUACCUAUAGAAGAAGGACCGGCCAACUACGUGCCAGCAGCCGCGGUAAUACGUAGGGUCCGAGCGUUGUCCGGAAUUACUGGGCGUAAAGAGCUCGUAGGUGGUUUGUCGCGUUGUUCGUGAAAACUCACAGCUUAACUGUGGGCGUGCGGGCGAUACGGGCAGACUGGAGUACUGCAGGGGAGACUGGAAUUCCUGGUGUAGCGGUGGAAUGCGCAGAUAUCAGGAGGAACACCGGUGGCGAAGGCGGGUCUCUGGGCAGUAACUGACGCUGAGGAGCGAAAGCGUGGGGAGCGAACAGGAUUAGAUACCCUGGUAGUCCACGCCGUAAACGGUGGGUACUAGGUGUGGGUUUCCUUCCUUGGGAUCCGUGCCGUAGCUAACGCAUUAA
rnacentral:rRNA from 1 species